rnacentral:rRNA from 1 species
GAGACCUGCGUCUACAAUUGCUAACAGGCGCUUAUGCGUGACUGAGCACAUUGUGGGGACUGCCUUGGAAACGAGGAGGAAGGUGCAGGCUACGGUAGGUCUGUAUGCCCCGAAUCUUCUGGGCUACACGCGCGCAACAAUGGUAAGGACAAUGGGUCACAACUCCGAAAGGAGAAGUUAAUCCUCGAAACCUUAUCCUAGUCCAGAUUGAGGGUUGUAACCCACCCUCAUGACGUUGGAAUCCCUAGUAAUCGGACGUUAUCAGCGUCCGGUGAAUAC